GGGUUUUUAGUAUAUUUUUUUGUAUUAUUGUUUUCCAAACAAUGGGGUUUUUAGUCUUU
rnacentral:tRNA from 1 species